rnacentral:lncRNA from 1 species
ACAAAUCAUACUCAGGCUGAUGCUCGUCAUCUAAAUCUGCAUACGGCCUCCACCGAAAAUUUGCCUCAAUCAUGUUAUCCAGCUCGUACCGGGUGAUACGACGCUGACCGUGCGGCACCUCAGUACGGGUAAACGGCCCUGUCAACCUACAACAAAAUGUUUAUACUAUACGUGAACUAGUACAUGUGCACAAACUGGAGGAUAUACAAACUUAUUGUGAUUAUGAGAAGAGUAGCAUAUUACAAACCUUAGCGCAAGUGGGUAGGUAAUCAGGGGUGUGGCCGUGUGUCGGGGAGCUAAUGUAGGGAACCGCUCGUAUAUCCACACCUAGUGUGAAGGUACAUACAUAUAUGUGCACAUCAAAAUAUAUAUGAAGAAAAACUUGAUAAAUAAAAUGAUAGUAAAUGCGUACCUGUACUAACGUGGCGUA